GAGAUGAGAAUGUGCCUUCGGGAACCGUGAGACAGGUGCUGCAUGGCUGUCGUCAGCUCGUGUUGUGAAAUGUUGGGUUAAGUCCCGCAACGAGCGCAACCCUUAUCCUUUGUUGCCAGCGGUCCGGCCGGGAACUCAAAGGAGACUGCCAGUGAUAAACUGGAGGAAGGUGGGGAUGACGUCAAGUCAUCAUGGCCCUUACGACCAGGGCUACACACGUGCUACAAUGGCGCAUACAAAGAGAAGCGACCUCGCGAGAGCAAGCGGACCUCAUAAAGUGCGUCGUAGUCCGGAUUGGAGUCUGCAACUCGACUCCAUGAAGUCGGAAUCGCUAGUAAUCGUGGAUCAGAAUGCCACGGUGAAUACGUUCCCGGGCCUUGUACACACCGCCCGUCACACCAUGGGAGUGGGUUGCAAAAGAAGAAGGUAGCUUAACCUUCGGGAGGGCGCUUACCACUUUGUGAUUCAUGACUGGGGUGAAGUCGUAACAAGGUAACCGU
rnacentral:rRNA from 1 species